GAUGAACGCUAGCUACAGGCUUAACACAUGCAAGUCGAGGGGAAACGCCAUCGAAAGCUUGCUUUUGAUGGGCGUCGACCGGCGCACGGGUGAGUAGCGCGUAUCCAACCUGCCCAUCACUUGGGAAUAACCUUGCGAAAGUAAGACUAAUACCCAAUGAUAUCCCACGAAGGCAUCGGAAUGGGAUUAAAGAUUUAUCGGUGAUGGAUGGGGAUGCGUCUGAUUAGCUUGUUGGCGGGGUAACGGCCCACCAAGGCAACGAUCAGUAGGGGUUCUGAGAGGAAGGUCCCCCACAUUGGAACUGAGACACGGUCCAAACUCCUACGGGAGGCAGCAGUGAGGAAUAUUGGUCAAUGGGCGAGAGCCUGAACCAGCCAAGUAGCGUGCAGGAUGACGGCCCUAUGGGUUGUAAACUGCUUUUAUAAGGGAAUAAAGUGGGUCUCGUGAGACUUUUUGCAUGUACCUUAUGAAUAAGGACCGGCUAAUUCCGUG
rnacentral:rRNA from 1 species